rnacentral:lncRNA from 1 species
GGGGAGGGAAAUGUCACCCGGCGGGCGCGGUGCUGAGGGACGGAGCGAGGGGACGGAGGGACAGGGAGCGCCGCCGGCUGUCAAGAGCAGUUGCCAAGUGAUCUUCUCCACAGCACCCACGAACUUUGGCCUUACACUGAAGAGGACUCGUCAAAUGCUUUGGGAGAUACAACACGGAAUUGGAAGAGAAGCAUGGAUCUACCUGAAGGGCAGUUCGCUGCAUUCUUGGUAAGUUCAAAACACGUGUAUAAAAUUUUAUCUCUGUUAAAUUUUCACCUUUAUGAAUUGACAUCUAUUUAAGGUCCUUUGCACAGGGACAGAACAAAGGCAGUUUCAUGGAAAUGGUCUCUAUUCUCUGGAUUCUUUUACGCUCUCACCCUGUAAAAACCUGUGUUGUGUUAUAGCUGAGUUUGUGGUGUGACUCCUGAAUGAAAACAGUAAAUGACAUGAAAUUCAGUUACUUUCACAGUGAUUAUACAACUGUGUUUUCAUGCCCACUUUCUGAAUAAAACAAGAUAUAUAGGAAUGAGUUUUCUCCUAGUAACUUCUGAAUCCACUGCUUCAUUUGAGCUGCAUUUGAUACAGAGAUAGAGGUCGCAAGGUCAAGUUUCUACAGUUUCAAUGAAACCUGGCAGAUGAGAUUAGAAAAAUGACUCGAAUUUGUGCCUCCAGGACAGAAAAAGCUUCAGCAUGGACUUGGAAGUUUUCUAUUCCAUUCAACCUGCUGCCUUGCAGAUUAGCAUCCUUGGUUGGUCUGAUGGUCACAAUGUGAGUUGCUCCCAGUAGUGAGAAGGUGGUGUUUUGUGAAGGAAUUUAGGGAAAUUAUUUAGAAGGGAGUGGGAAUCCAGCCAGGGUAACGUCAGCCUGGGAUUGCUGCACAAGUAUUUUGGGGCAUGUGCAAGCACAUUAGUAAAUAACUAGACUUUGUAACUUUGCUGGUCAUGAAAAAAACCCUUGUUUUUGCAAGAGCCUUCCAGUCUCCCAAACCAAUCAUGUACCCUUCAACUUUAUGGUGGUCUAUACCUACGUUAGAUGCAUGUUUUUCCUAUCCUUGUCAGAGAAGGGAAUUGUUGAGGCAGUUUCGCUAUUUCAUUUCUUUGAUGGCUUGAAUGUCAGCUCUGAGAUAUUCCAUAGGCUGUCACAUUUGUAACAGUGUGUUUUCCGCUCUUCUCAGAAACUGACUGUCAUUUGGACUGCAGCUAUGUGUCCCUGACCUCUCCUCCAGUCUGCACUCUCGGAGCAGUGCAUUGUAUUCCAGUUAACUUCCUUAUUGGAGAAAGAUGUGGAGCUAGGCAGAGGGGCAGAAAGCAGUAUUAGGAUCUGGCUGCAUAAGUUACCACGUUGCAUUGCAUCUUUGAUAAUGCCAUAUUUCCCUAGCUUUAUGGUCUUGGGCUCCUAGAGAACUGACUGUCCCAAAAAGUAUAGUCUGCUCAUUCUCAGUCAGUAAGAAAUGGGUACAUUAUACUUGCCAGAGGUACUGGUUCACUCAGGUAGGCUCAGGUGCUGGUUCACACUUGCAGGCUAAUGUGACUGGUAGGUCUGAUAUUUUUAAAUUUUCUGUGUAACAGUAGAUGGGAGAAGCAUUCAAGGCCAGACUGGAUGGGGCUUUGAGCAACCUGGUCUAGAGGGAGGUGUCCCUGCCUAGAGCAAGGGGUUGGAACUAGGUGACCUUAAAGGUCCCUUCCAACACAAACCAUUCUAUGAUUCAAUAAUUCUAUAUCUUAAGACACUUUUUGAACAGAACUUACAGCUGGAGCACCGAUCUUGAGAAAGAGGAGUUGAAUUUGUCAUUAUAAGUCAUGUAUAUAAACCAAAAGUUUUAAAGGGAAUAAAAGGCGAAGAAACACUUCAAAUUCAGUAACUUCUAAGACAACUGCCUUGAAAUUUGUUGUAAUGUCUGAAAUGUGGAUUUCAAAUUUUUGCUUGUCCUCCUGCCCAGUUGAAAGCUUUAAGCCUGGCAAGGAACAAAAAACUGUGGUGCUCUUCUCCAUUUUCUGUUUGUUUACAAGUCUGUUGUUUGACAAAAUCACAGCCAGUAAGAGAACAACUUGUUGCUCAAAAAUAAAACCAAAAGUAGAGAAUUAAAAAAGACUGCAUUCCAUCCUUAUGGAACUCCUGAUUCUUCUGUUAGAUUGUCAGAUCCUUUAAUUUGUUCGUAGCUUUUGCUUGUUUGUUUUAAAUAUUGUUGUUUCUUUAAUGGUAUCUAAAUUAAAGGAAUAAAGAAAUGUCUUCUGCAUGUUUCUAGGAUCUAGUUCUUAUAUCCUUUAUCAUCAGUGCUCUUGCACAGUGUCACCAGUUAAAUAUUAUUUCAUGGAACCCAUGGUUAAUGUGUUUGUAAAUGUUUUAUGAUAUAGAAAAGCGUUGUAACUGAAAAUAAAAUGCCUUUUAAAGAUCAACAUAGAUGUAUUUUUAAUAAGAACAGUGAGGUCAAAUCAUAAAUGUUAAGUUUUGUGUGAAUGGCAAAGAGGUGGUAUAUAUUUGUUUAACAUUACAUUUGUACUUCCUGCAUUCUAAAUAGUUUUCUGGAGGAGCUUAAAUUUAGGAAAUGAUUGCAGUUGAUUUUUGUAAGGAUUUUUUGUUUAAAAAAGAUCACUUUUAGUCUAAAAUUGACUACUGUUUAUCAUGUGUUUUCAAAUACUUUAGUCUUCGAUGCUGCUGUAUGUGGCCAGAUGCUUUCAUAGAAUCACAGAAUGGCCUGGGUUGAAAAGGACCACAAUGGUCAUCUAGUUUCAACCCCCCUGCUAUGUGCAGGGUCACCAACCACCAGACCAGGCUGCCCCGAG